GAUCGAAUGGGGAGAUUCAUCGUCAACGASGCCGGCUCCCGUUGGUGCGCGAUGCCCCGGACGGGCCCUUCGGGGUUCCGGGUUAAAGCGAGGGCACACCAUCAUCGGCGAACGUUCCGGCGAAGUAGUCGUGCACUUCUCCCCUAGUAGAACGUCGCGACCCGUUGCGUGUCGGUCUACGGUCCGAGGCGGAGACUGUCCGUGUCGCCUUUGCGCGUUCGUGACAGACCCUCGGUUGCCUGGCCGACUGCGCGACGKUACUCGAAACGGUAUCGGGCCGCAACCGAUUCAUUUUCGAAUGUAUGUGCGUCAGGACCGCUGCAAGCUCGGUUCAGCAGUAUACCCGGAUGCACGGACUAUGGGCCGUGCCCGG
rnacentral:rRNA from 1 species